rnacentral:sRNA from 1 species
GCUAUGGCUAUGGCUAUGGCUAUGGCUAUGGCUAUGGCUAUGGCUAUGGCUAUGGCUAUGGCUAUGGCUAUGGCUAUGGCUAUGGCUAUGGCUAUGGCAGCAGACGUUGUCUUCGUGAGCAGACGUGCUUUGUUGAGCUCUCUAAAAUU